CAGUCGCCGCGGUAAUACGUAGGUGGCAAGCGUUGUCCGGAAUUAUUGGGCGUAAAGGGCUCGCAGGCGGUUUCUUAAGUCUGAUGUGAAAGCCCCCGGCUCAACCGGGGAGGGUCAUUGGAAACUGGGAAACUUGAGUGCAGAAGAGGAGAGUGGAAUUCCACGUGUAGCGGUGAAAUGCGUAGAGAUGUGGGGGAACACCAGUGGCGAAGGCGACUCUCUGGUCUGUAACUGACGCUGAGGAGCGAAAGCGUGGGGAGCGAACAGGAUUAGAUACCCCGGUAGUCCCUGUCUCUUAUAC
rnacentral:rRNA from 1 species